rnacentral:lncRNA from 1 species
AUCUUAUCUGUUGAUGUGAAGAGAUGCGGAUUAACACUGAAAGCCCGGAGAGGCGGAGCGCGUCACGGCGCAUCGCCAGGCUAAAAGAGGAGCGUUCUGGCAAAUUAAACCCGAAUAAAUUACACCUUGAGGUGGAAGAGGGGUAAGUGUAGGGUGCAUCGCAUAAAGGCUGUGGCAGCGGUGUGUUUGUGUCUGUUUUUGCGUGCACGCGCGCGUGCGUGUGUUUAGCUGACCGGCCAAUAAAUCUCUCCACCGUGCGAUACUCUUAUCUUGUAGCCACCGAUAUAUUCCGUGCUAGGAGGCCAUCAGCUCCAGCGCACACUCGGUUGCUCGUAAAGCCCCGAUCCCUUGCACUCCCUGUCCUAAAUGGGGAUAAUUAGCGUCACUUUAUCACGCCUCUGCAUAUUUUCUCCACGUCUCCCCCCCUUUCCUAAAAAAAUUACCAAGCAGGCUGCUCUCGUCGCCCGCUCUGUCACAGAAGAUUAUGGAGACAGAUUGCACAGAGCGAAUGUGCCGGGCGAGAUUAGCGCGGAAUAGAGAAAGCAACUGGGCCAAUGAAUUCCUCGGAAGGGCCUUAUCGUGCAAUUACACGUUGACAUGUUUAACAAUCUUGCUGCCUCUUAAUCCUGCAGUGCUGCUCUAUCUACCCACAGCUACCACGCUGUAUGCCGGCACACAGACCUAAUGCACCGAAACACAGCACAAAUGUCCUGAAAGUUAUGAGAAAUUGCUUUAUUUUCAAACUUUGUCCAGCAUUCAAACGCCUUUUUUUAUUUUCUAUUUUUUAUUUUUCAGAUUUCUCCGUUGUUGGAAUAGCAUCUGCACUGGAAGUUUUUGACAAGAGCAAACUGUCCAUCAUGGCUAUCACCAGUGGACAUGGAUCACUGUGGGGCCUGUGAUUAACAGAUAGCGCCUCGUCUCCUCCGCUGGCAGGCCAUCAUUACGUCGAGCACUAGAAGAUAGGUGCUGUGGGCGAAAAGACCUUUAGGAAAAUGUCAGCGACAGUCAGAGCCCCAAAUUUCCUCCAUUCACUCUUCCCCAUGUGAUGCUACCUACUCUAAACCCCUUUAAUUGCACAAGCCCUUUCUCCUAUUGCCCGAUGUUUCGUAUCUAAGUACAGUGACUGAUUUCAGAGCAUGUGGAGAAUUUAUUUUAUCUUUUUAUCUUAAGUGGCUUAAAAAUUGGCUGUAAAAAAAUUAAAUAAAAAAAAAAUCUUAAACACCAGCCCUAUAUUUCAACAAUCUCAGCAAAAACAAAAAAAAACAAAAACAAAAACCCUCCCCUUUCACAUUCUCGUUCACUGGAGCCAGCUUCACUGUCUUAAUACUCUUAGUCCCUCAGUUGGCAUGUUUUCCAAGAAGCCGCUGCAUUUUCAGAUUUGUAA